GGAUGAGUAGAGUGGCGGACGGGUGAGUAACGCGUAGGAAUCUGUCCUGUAGUGGGGGAUAACGUGUCGAAAGGAACGCUAAUACCGCAUACGCCCCAAGGGGGAAAGCGGGGGAUCUUCGGACCUCGUGCUAUAGGAGGAGCCUGCGUCGGAUUAGCUAGUUGGUGAGGUAAAGGCUCACCAAGGCGACGAUCCGUAGCUGGUCUGAGAGGAUGAUCAGCCACACCGGAACUGAGACACGGUCCGGACUCCUACGGGAGGCAGCAGUGGGGAAUAUUGCGCAAUGGGCGAAAGCCUGACGCAGCCAUACCGCGUGUGUGAAGAAGGCCUUCGGGUUGUAAAGCACUUUCAGUGGGGAGGAAAAGCUGGCGGCUAAUAUCCGCCGGCCGUGACGCUACCCACAGAAGAAGCACCGGCUAAUUCCGUGCCAGCAGCCGCGGUAAUACGGAAGGUGCGAGCGUUAAUCGGAAUUACUGGGCGUAAAGCGCACGUAGGCGGCUUGGUAAGUCGGAUGUGAAAGCCCCGGGCUCAACCUGGGAACGGCAUUCGAUACUGCUGAGCUAGAGUACGAAAGAGGGGGGUGGAAUUCCAGGUGUAGCGGUGAAAUGCGUAGAGAUCUGGAGGAACACCGGUGGCGAAGGCGGCCCCCUGGUUCGAUACUGACGCUGAGGUGCGAAAGCGGGGGGAGCAAACAGGAUUAGAUACCCUGGUAGUCCACGCCGUAAACGAUGUCUGCUAGCCGUUGGGAUCCUUGAGGUUUCGGUGGCGCAGCUAACGCGAUAAGCAGACCGCCUGGGGAGUACGGCCGCAAGGUUAAAACUCAAAUGAAUUGACGGGGGCCCGCACAAGCGGUGGAGCAUGUGGUUUAAUUC
rnacentral:rRNA from 1 species